UGCUUCUUUGUUUUUUAUAGAGCUCACAGCCUCAGUGUCUUGUGACACAGGGGCCAUGAUGGAAAUUCAUCUUCCAGAAGGUCCCAGAGCAUCCACACCCCCUGAAAAGACCAAGAUGUGAGGUGUCUGCUCUUGAUUCCAGCUUCCACCUCAGUGACAGUGCAAGCUCCGUGAACUGUUCAAGGAGGCUACUGAUUCUGGCCCUGUGACACUUGGUGGUGACGUGUGAGCUGAUUCACCUGGACACUCAGCAAAAUAUGGACUCUACACCAUGAAGCAGGCACACGUUAAUACUCUAUAAGAGCACAUAAGGUGAGCAACACCACAUAUUAUUUUUAUUACUGUACACUGUCCUGGAUUUGUUUUCUUUCUGCAUCUCAUCAUUAGCCUGGCUGAUCACCUGAUAACUCCUGUCAUCUGGUUAUGACAGCAUGAGGAUGUCCUCACACACCUGUAACCUAUCAGCUCAUCUGGCAGAAUAGAGAGAGAAGAGACAACACCACAUCUCCUGUUCCUGGAAAGCCUUCAGCCAUCCUUCGAUGACUGAGAACCUCCAUCAGCUCUGUCUCCUGUCUGCCUACAAUUAUUAUAAUAAAUAUUGUGUUUGACAAGUUUUUUGUGCUGCCAAAUAUCUAAUUUUGAUUCCAGUUUUGAUAUUUUAAUGGAUAUUUAUAAAUUACAUUAAUUGAGUUAUCACAUUGCAUGUUUAACUAGCUCUAUUGUGAUGAAUUAAACUAGCACCUCACUGUUAAAAGCUCGUUUUAAUUUCAAGCAUGUUUAAGUAUUUAUGGACAUGAACAAAAACAGGAAAUAUAUAAAUUGAGAUUUAUUUAAUUAAUAUAACGAAUAAGGGGGAAAGAGUCAUUGAAAGGCACAUUCUUCUGGAAGCUCCUGAUCCUGAAGACACGAGAGACCAGCUGCAGACACCAGAGGAUCACCUGCAACCAAGAGCAGCUAGUAUCAGUAAAUAAAUAAUGAAAUCAGGGCAGUUUUAGUGGGCUGAACACAUUACAGAAUAAUUUUCU